rnacentral:rRNA from 1 species
GACGAACGCUGGCGGCGUGCUUAACACAUGCAAGUCGAACGGAAAGGCCCUGCUUUUGUGGGGUGCUCGAGUGGCGAACGGGUGAGUAACACGUGAGUAACCUGCCCUUGACUUUGGGAUAACUUCAGGAAACUGGGGCUAAUACCGGAUAGGAGCUCCUGCUGCAUGGUGGGGGUUGGAAAGUUUCGGCGGUUGGGGAUGGACUCGCGGCUUAUCAGCUUGUUGGUGGGGUAGUGGCUUACCAAUGCUUUGACGGGUAGCCGGCCUGAGAGGGUGACCGGCGACAUGGCGACUGAGAUACGGCGCAGACGCCUACGGGAGGCAGCAGUGGGGAAUAUUGCACAGUGGGCGGGAGCCUGAUGCAGCGACGCCGCGUGCGGGAUGACGGCCUUCGGGUUGUAAACCGCUUUCGCCUGUGACGAAGCGUGAGUGACGGUAAUGGGUAAAGAAGCACCGGCUAACUACGUG